GAAAUGCGAUAAGUAGUGUGAAUUGCAGAAUUCAGUGAAUCAUCGAAUCUUUGAACGCACAUUGCGCCCUUUGGUAUUCCAAAGGGCAUGCCUGUUCGAGCGUCAUUUGUACCCUCAAGCUUUGCUUGGUGUUGGGCGUCUUGUCUCUAGCUUUGCUGGAGACUCGCCUUAAAGUAAUUGGCAGCCGGCCUACUGGUUUCGGAGCGCAGCACAAGUCGCACUCUCUAUCAGCAAAGGUCUAGCAUCCAUUAAGCCUUUUUUCAACUUUUGACCUCGGAUCAGGUAGGGAUACCCGCUGAACUUAAGC
rnacentral:misc_RNA from 1 species